CGUGUAGGCGGCCAGGUAGGUCGGUUGUGAAAACUGGAGGCUCAACCUUCAGAGGUCGACCGAAACCAUCUGGCUAGAGUCCGGGAGAGGAGAGUGGAAUUCCUGGUGUAGCGGUGAAAUGCGCAGAUAUCAGGAAGAACACCCGUGGCGAAAGCGGCUCUCUGGAACGGUACUGACGCUGAGACGCGAAAGCGUGGGGAGCGAACAGGAUUAGAUACCCUGGUAGUCCACGCCGUAAACGAUGGGCGCUAGGUGUGGGAGGUGUCGACUCCUUCCGUGCCGAAGCUAACGCAUUAAGCGCCCCGCCUGGGGAGUACGGCCGCAAGGCUAAA
rnacentral:rRNA from 1 species